AACUUUUGACAACGGAUCUCUUGGCUCUCGCAUCGAUGAAGAACGCAGCGAAAUGCGAUAAGUAAUGUGUAUUGCAGAAUUCAGUGAAUCAUCGAAUCUUUGAACGCACCUUGCACCCUUUGGUAUUCCGAAGGGUAUGCUCGUUUGAGUGUCAUUGUACUCUCACACUCUCUGAUCCUUUGGAUUCAGGGAGCAGUGGACUUGGGUGUUUGCUGCUUUCCUUGUGGCUCACCUCAAAUGCGUCAGUGCACCUCUUGGUUGGACAUAGUACGGCGUGAUAAGUAUCUUCGCCGGCACCUCGCAAGAGGGUGGUCAAUUGGGAGCUCUGUGCUUUCAAACCGUCUUCGGACAAUCUCUGACAACUUGACCUCAAAUCGAGUAGGACUACCCGCUGAACUUAAGCAUAUCAAUAAGCGGAGGCU
rnacentral:misc_RNA from 1 species